CAGACAGAAAAAUUAGAAGUCAGUGUUCGUCUGUUUGCAAACGUUCAGCAGUCGAUGCUGUAUAAAACAACAAAAUUCAAACACUUUUCACUCAAACGAAGAAAAUCUAAUUUGUGAGACAACAAUGGAAACAUACAACAAAAAUAAAAAUUCAAUCGUGGUCACACCAGACCAGAUUAUGCCGCCAAUCAACAGGUGCUUCGAAAGGCUCUCUGAAUUUCAGUGGAGCAUAAUAGAAAAUGGAAAAUGCGACUCCGGCAUCCAUGCAGUGCUCGCUGAUAUGAUUUCUGAAAUCAUUCAGAUCGCCUCUGCCAGCAUCCUGGAUAUAGCCCUUCCUGUUAUCCAGGAACCCAUGAUAAGGGAAGAGUUUAUGGAUGAGGGGAAAAUAAGGCUGUCCCUCGGAGACUCGAUCUCAGCCGCCAUCGCCAGCGCUCUUAAUGUCCCAAAACACCAAGAUAAGAACGCUGACAAGCUGACACUGAUGGUUGAGGAAGAGAUCUCCGAAAAAGUCAGCUCAGCCAUUGCACUGAUCGAAGAAAGCCCUGAUUUCCCGCAACACCCCGCCGUUUAUGUUAGCAGCAAAUUUAGUAGUAUUAAAAAACUACACCGCAUGGUUUGUUGUGCUGCCUCAUGCCUGAAAGGGUAUGCAGCACGUAAGCUGCGCUGCCAGUGUGGGACAAGCGGGUCUGAUUCCAGUACAGAAAGUACUGGUUCAAAAAUAUCAGUGCAAUCAGCAAUCACAGAGAUUUCUGUUAUUCUGUCAACAAGGAGCUCAGAUGGAGAGAUGACAGAAAAAGAUAAUGAGAUCUCAAAAGAAUCAGCUCUAACAGAACAAAGCAAAAUAAAACCAACUGCAGAAACACAAAGUAUCCGAGCUCCAACCCCAGUAGAAGUGGUUGCAGCUGACAUCGUACAUGAGAUACUUGCUAACAUGGAUUCAAGCAGUGAAGAGCUCUGUGACAAAUGUAGCUUACCUAAACCUGCUUUUAAAGCAGGCUUAAUUAUCCACAAGGUGAGGCACUUCUUCUCCAAAUGUGUGCCAUCUACCUCACACGCCAGGCUCAAAGCACGCA
ensembl:lncRNA